CAAUAGCGUAUAUUAAAGUUGUUGCGGUUAAAAAGCUCGUAGUUGGAUUUCUGCUGAGAACGACCGGUCCGCCCUUUGGGUGUGUAUCUGGCUCUUUCUUGGCAUCUUCUUGGUGAACGUUGCUGCACUUGACUGUGUGGGGCGCUACCCAGGACUUUUACUUUGAGGAAAUUAGAGUGUUUCAAGCAGGCAUACGCCUUGAAUACAUUAGCAUGGAAUAAUAAGAUAGGACCUCGGUUCUAUUUUGUUGGUUUCUAGAGCUGAGGUAAUGAUUAAUAGGGAUAGUUGGGGGCAUUCGUAUUUAACUGUCAGAGGUGAAAUUCUUGGAUUUGUUAAAGACGGACUACUGCGAANGNAUUUGCNAAGGAUGUUUNCAUUG
rnacentral:rRNA from 1 species